UACGUAGGGUGCAAGCGUUGUCCGGAAUUAUUGGGCGUAAAGAGCUCGUAGGCGGUUUGUUGCGUCGGCUGUGAAAUCCCGAGGCUCAACCUCGGGUCUGCAGUCGAUACGAGCAAACUAGAGUGUUGCAGGGGAGACUGGAAUUCCUGGUGUAGCGGUGAAAUGCGCAGAUAUCAGGAGGAACACCAGUGGCGAAGGCGGUUGCCUGGAGCUUUGCUGACGCUGAGGCGCGAAAGCGUGGGGAGCGAUCCGG
rnacentral:rRNA from 1 species